GAUGAAGAACGCAGCGAAAUGCGAUACUUGGUGUGAAUUGCAGAAUCCCGUGAACCAUCGAGUCUUUGAACGCAAGUUGCGCCCGAAGCCAUUAGGCCGAGGGCACGCCUGCCUGGGCGUCACACGUCGUUGCCCCCCCAUCUACUCCUUCGGGAUUGCGAGGGGCGGAUGAUGGCCUCCCGUGCGCCUCGUCGCGCGGUUGGCAUAAAUGCCAAGUCCUCGGCGACGCACGCCACGACAAUCGGUGGUUGCGAAACCUCGGUUGCCCGUCGUGUGCGGUCGUCGCGCAUCGAGGGCUCGAAAAAAUUGCCGGGCUCCGGCUCGGCUUUCAACGCGACCCCAGGUCAGGCGGGGUUACCCGCUGAAUUUAAGCAUAUCAAUAAGCGGAGGA
rnacentral:misc_RNA from 1 species